AUUAUAUUACUUUAGGAGUGGGACAUGCAACAAAAAGGGUGAGCAUAUAAAAUAUUUAUUAUAAUAAUAAAUAUUUUAUAUGCUCACCCUUUUUGUUGCAUGUCCCACUCCUAAAGUAA